ensembl:snoRNA
GUGUGGUGAUGGAUUAAUGGCAGGCCCUUCUCUGUGGGCCUCAUAGUAUACCAGUGCCAGAGGAGCAGGCAGCCUUGAACCCCCUGUCUGUUGGGCUGUGAGCACUGAAGGGAGUAAUACAGUG